rnacentral:rRNA from 1 species
CAAGUCGUACGUAGAAAGUUUACCUUCGGGAGAUGAGUAGAGUGGCGCACGGGUGAGUAACGCGUGGAUAAUCUACCUUAUGGAUUGGGAUAACUUUGCGAAAGCGGAGCUAAUACCGAAUGGUCUGAUUAAAUUAUUUUUUUUGGUAAAGGUGGCCUCUAUAUAUAAGCUAUCGCCAUGAGAUGAGUCCGCGUAUCAUUAGCUAGUUGGUAAGGUAAUGGCUUACCAAGGCUACGAUGAUUAGCUGGUCUGAGAGGAUGAUCAGCCACACUGGAACUGAAACACGGUCCAGACUCCUACGGGAGGCAGCAGUGGGGAAUAUUGGGCAAUGGGCGCAAGCCUGACCCAGCAACGCCGCGUGAGGGAUGAAGGUUUUCGGAUCGUAAACCUCUGUCAGAAGGGAAGAAGUGGAUUAUAUUAAAUAGAUAUAGUUUUUGACGGUACCCUCAGAGGAAGCACCGGCUAACUCCGUGCCAGCAGCCGCGGUAAUACAGAGGGUGCGAGCGUGAUACGGAAU